rnacentral:rRNA from 1 species
UACAGAGGGUGCAAGCGUUAAUCGGAAUUACUGGGCGUAAAGCGCGCGUAGGCGGCUGUCUAAGUCGGGUGUGAAAGCCCCGGGCUCAACCUGGGAACUGCAUCCGAUACUGGACGGCUAGAGUAUGAGAGAGGGAGGUAGAAUUCCACGUGUAGCGGUGAAAUGCGUAGAUAUGUGGAGGAAUACCGGUGGCGAAGGCGACCUCCUGGUACAAUGCUGACGCUGAGGUGCGAAAGCGUGGGGAGCAAACAGG